GCUCAGACUGCACCCCAGGGCGGCCCCCCACGCGUGCCCCUGACGUUCCCUCCAGCUUCAGCAGCUACCACCACCUCAGACCCGGCCUGGGCCGAGCAGAGGGCGGAGCACUUACCAGGUCAACCGGAGCCCUGGGCGGUGCGGGGGCGCCCGGGGAGAAUCACGGAGUCAAGUUCACGGCCACCGCCGGGACUGUCCGAGGUCCCUAAGGAGCAGACUCUGCCGUAGCCCGGAGUCACGUCCUCAGGCAGCUCCGGGUGCCACUGCCCAUCUCUCUGGCCUCGCCACCCCAACUUCGUGCACAGCCGCUGAACUCGAAGUUUCCGGACUUCACAGAGGCUGGGCUGGGUUUCAGGAGCGACGUCUGAGCUUGGCAACAAAGACAGAAAGCAGGCCGGCCGGGAGACAGAAGAAAAAAAAAAAAAAAACAAAACAAAACAAAAAAAAACCAGACCGUAACAAGGAGAGGGGCAGCUUAGAAAGCCCUAGAAGUUGUUUUGUCUUUUUCCUAGGAGGGAAACAAUAAGAGCCCAGACUCCAGUCUGGAAGUAGGUGAGGAUGGGGUAGGAAGGAUAUGUUCUUUUCUUCCACAAAAGUGGGUGGUGGCGACAGAUCGGCACCUCUCUGCUGAUUUUUAUUCAAUCCAGCUAGACUUGGAGGGGAAUGAGGAAAGUGUGGAACCCAGUAUUUCUGGGAGAUGGGGUAGAGUCGUGCUCUCCCGAGCUAUAGAAGGAAUGGUCUGGUGAGGAAGAUGCCCUCCCGUCAGAAGAAAUUAGAGCUGUCCACAGUCGGCAAUGGUGAUCUUCGUGCUGGUCUCGCUGGUCCUGGGUCCAAAACACUCCACGGCUUCCACAAGGCCCAUGCCUUCCUUCACCUUUCCAAAGCCCACGUUUGCCAGCCACUCAGUCCUGGCAGGGCGGAUGAAGAACUGGGAACUAUUUGUGUUUGCCUUGGACAAGAUGCCAGGACCUGAAUGCUUCAGGAUGAAGUUCUCAUCCUCAAAUUUCUCCCUGUAGAUGGACCGGCUGCCAGUGCCAUUAUGGGGUGUUGUAGAGUAUGAAGCAGCUCCCCUGCCACCUGAAUCCUGGAAUAAUUCUACGGAAGGGGGAACUCAUAUUCAAAUCCUUUCUCUCCAGUGCUCGGAUCAUCAAAAUUUUCUGCUGCCUUUGGAACUUUGUCAGCGAAUAGCCUGAAGGAGACCAGCCCAAGGCCCACCAUCAGGUGCCAUGUGGGACUGACCAUGGCUUCAGCAAGCGGCGACAGGGACAGCGGUGUCUGCAAAGCUCAUUUUGUAUUUUCAUUGAGUCCAAAACGUUGUCUUCCUGGA